UAAGUCGUUCAGAUUUUCAAAAUUUGGAAUCGAUUUGUGAAAGGAGUCGGAAUGAUAAUCAUUCAAUGACUGCUUUUGGUUGGACCGAGUUUUUAUGCAAAUUGUUGACCUACAUUGAACACGUAAAUCGAGGAGGUUGCGUUCGUGAUCUCACGAACAUGAAACACGUGGAAGAUAACAUGAGAAAUGAGCACGAUUGAAAAGGGCAACGACAUUUUGCGUCGAUAUCAAAUAUUGGGCCAACUCAUGAUCUGGAGUUUUAAAAUUUAUUUAUGAAUGUUUGUAGGAAACCUUUACAGUCCAAGUUAGAAAAAAAAUACCUGAAACUUCCAAAAAUAUGUAUUUUAUUUUGUACCCAU